GAUGAACGCUGGCGGCGUGCCUAACACAUGCAAGUCGAGCGAACCCUUCGGGGUGAGCGGCGGACGGGUGAGUAACGCGUGGGUAACCUGCACUAUACACACGGAUAACGUACCGAAAGGUACGCUAAUACGGGAUAAAGUUGUUGGAUGGCAUCUUCUAACAAUCAAAGCUCUGGCGGUAUAGGAUGGACCCGCGUCUGAUUAGCUAGUUGGUGAGGUAAUGGCUCACCAAGGCGACGAUCAGUAGCCGACCUGAGAGGGUGAUCGGCCACACUGGAACUGAGACACGGUCCAGACUCCUACGGGAGGCAGCAGUGGGGAAUAUUGCACAAUGGGCGAAAGCCUGAUGCAGCAACGCCGCGUGAGCGAUGAAGGUCUUCGGAUCGUAAAGCCCUGUCCUCAAGGAAGAUAAUGACGGUACUUGAGGAGGAAGCCCCGGCUAACUACGUGCCAGCCGCCGCGGUAA
rnacentral:rRNA from 1 species